GAUGAACGCUGGCGGCGUGCUUAACACAUGCAAGUCGAGCGAAGCGCUUAAGAAUGAUUCUUCGGAUGAAUUCUUUUGCGACUGAGCGGCGGACGGGUGAGUAACGCGUGGAUAACCUGCCUCAUACAGGGGGAUAACAGUUAGAAAUGACUGCUAAUACCGCAUAAGCGCACAGUGCCGCAGGGCACCGUGUGAAAAACUCCGGUGGUAUGGGAUGGAUCCGCGUUGGAUGAGGCAGUUGGCGGGGUAACGGCCCACCAAACCGACGACCCAUAGCCGGCCUGAGAGGGUGGACGGCCACAUUGGGACUGAGACACGGCCCAAACUCCUACGGGAGGCAGCAGUGGGGAAUAUUGCACAAUGGGGGAAACCCUGAUGCAGCGACGCCGCGUGAGUGAAGAAGUAAUUCGUUAUGUAAAGCUCUAUCAGCAGGGAAGAAAAUGACGGUACCUGACUAAGAAGCCCCGGCUAACUACGUGCCAGCAGCCGCGGUAAGAC
rnacentral:rRNA from 1 species